GACGAACGCUGGCGGCGUGCCUAAUACAUGCAAGUAGAACGCACAGUUUAUACCGUAGCUUGCUACACCAUAGACUGUGAGUUGCGAACGGGUGAGUAACGCGUAGGUAACCUGCCUGGUAGCGGGGGAUAACUAUUGGAAACGAUAGCUAAUACCGCAUAAUAUUAAUUAUUGCAUGAUAAUUAAUUGAAAGGUGCAAUUGCACCACUACCAGAUGGACCUGCGUUGUAUUAGCUAGUAGGUGAGGUAACGGCUCACCUAGGCGACGAUACAUAGCCGACCUGAGAGGGUGAUCGGCCACACUGGGACUGAGACACGGCCCAGACGCCUACGGGAGGCAGCAGUAGGGAAUCUUCGGCAAUGGACGGAAGUCUGACCGAGCAACGCCGCGUGAGUGAAGAAGGUUUUCGGAUCGUAAAGCUCUGUUGUAAGAGAAGAACGGGUGUGAGAGUGGAAAGUUCACACUGUGACGGUAUCUUACCAGAAAGGGACGGCUAACUACGUG
rnacentral:rRNA from 1 species